AUUGAACGCUGGCGGCAGGCCUAACACAUGCAAGUCGAGCGGAUGAAGAGAGCUUGCUCUCUGAUUUAGCGGCGGACGGGUGCGUAAUGCCUAGGAAUCUGCCUGGUAGUGGGGGAUAACGUUCCGAAAGGAACGCUAAUACCGCGUACGUCCUACGGGAGAAAGCAGGGGACCGUCGGGCCUUGCGCUAUCAGAAGACCCGGGGUCGGAUUAGCUAGUUGGUGAGGUAAUGGCUCACCAAGGCGACGGACCGUAACUGGUCUGAGAGAAUGAUCAGUCACACUGGAACUGAGACACGGUCCAGACUCCUACGGGAGGCAGCAGUGGGGAAUAUUGGACAAUGGGCGAAAGCCUGAUCCAGCCAUGCCGCGUGUGUGAAGAAGGUCUUCGGAUUGUAAAGCACUUUAAGUUGGGAGGAAGGGCGUUUGGCUAAUAUCCAGGCGUUUUGACGUUACCAACAGAAUAAGCACCGGCUAACUUCGUGCCAGCAGCCGCGGUAACAC
rnacentral:rRNA from 1 species